rnacentral:rRNA from 1 species
ACUCCUACGGGAGGCAGCAGUGGGGAAUCUUAGACAAUGGGGGCGAACCCUGAUCUAGCCAUGCCGCGUGAGUGAUGAAGGCCUUAGGGUCGUAAAGCUCUUUCGCCAGGGAUGAUAAUGACAGUACCUGGUAAAGAAACCCCGGCCUAACUCCGUGCCAGCAGCCGCGGUAAUACGGAGGGGGUUAGCGUUGUUCGGAAUUACUGGGGCGUAAAGCGCGCGUAGGCGGACUAGAAAGUUGGGGGUGAAAUCCCGGGGCUCAACCUCGGAACUGCCUUCAAAACUCCUAGUCUAGAGUUCGAGAGAGGUGAGUGGAAUUCCAAGUGUAGAGGUGAAAUUCGUAGAUAUUUGGAGGAACACCAGUGGCGAAGGCGGCUCACUGGCUCGAUACUGACGCUGAGGUGCGAAAGUGUGGGGAGCAAACAGGAUUAGAUACCCUGGUAGGAUAGCG